GUUUGCAGGGAGUGAAUUACGUUGUUAUUGAUAGCACAAUUGCUGCACCGCCAUUGAAGCAGCGAGAGAGCAGGUAGAAUCUUUCCCUGAUGGUUUCCACUAAAUUGUACUACAUUGCAGUUUUCGUACUUUUGUCCUUCAGCUUGAAAGAUUCAUCCUCGCAAGUCAUUUAUUUCGAUGAUUUACACUUGGGAGAUGACAACAGUUUAUACCGAACAUGGAUGAUUUUAAGACGAGUGACAAAAAGAAGAUCAAUUCCAGUGUUCCUCAAGCUUGUAAAGGAAUAUCGUGCGAGGGAGAGAGAUUUGGACUUUGACGACGACGACGAUGAAAUCUAAUAAGCCUUUGAUGACAGAGAAUGAUGAAAUUCGAUUAGCAAUGCAACAUGUUAAAUUACAAUGAUCAUAUAAUAAAUUGACUCGUUGUU